UGUUGCCAAGAUCAUAUCAUUUCAUAACCAGAUUUAAUUAAAAGAGCAGUUUAGAUGCCUGGCACCCAGCUUCUCUUAGUUCAAAGCCUUUUCCCUGAAUCUAAAUCCCAGAACCAGCAGAGGAACAGCACCCAUCACCCAAGAGAAAGCAGGUUGUUCAGAGUUUACCAAUGUAUUACAUGUCUUCUUAAGCUUCUAAUUGCUACUCUGGCAUAGCAACGACUCCUGUUGCUGUAGGGAGCUGUAGAAAACCCCACCAGGCUGCUUUUUUGGAAGUUGAUAGACACCCUGCUCUGCAAGCCAGAUACAGACACCAGAGUGUGGCAGAAUCACCUGGAAACAAACACAGCACAGGAGCCUUCCAAUUGCUCGGACUGGCAACCAAAACACAGCCUGUUGUGCUGCAUGGGGACAAUCCAUUUUUUAUUUACUGUCUGGAGAAGGAUCAGUACUUCCACUGUGCCAUAGCAGGCAGUUUUUAAGUGAGCAUAUCCCCAGCUGUGACCUGCAGCUGCACUUCUGAUGAGUGAAGUGUGUCUGUGCAACCUUGCAUUGGCCUCCCUCCAGUACAGUCACUCUGACUUUUACUGACUGAAGGAAAUGACUGAAGAAGCAUCUUAUCAACAUAUGCUCCAAAUGUCCAAGGGAGAGCAGCUGAAUCUGCAGGAACACGGUUCUGGGGCUCAGCCAAUAUUAAGACAUCAGUGUUCAGGAUUUUCUCCCACUCUUCCAGUCUAUCAGGGAAGUGAAGCACACACAGACAGAUGAUGUGCUCACUCUACAGGGGCUGUGUUCCAGCUCUGUUACAGACAGAUCUGAGCCCAAAAUUGGGGGGCCAAACAGGACCCCCACAGUGCUGGUCCCCUUCUUACUUAACAUCCUCUCUAUUUUGUUAACACUUGAACUACCAAAUCAGAGUUCACUUAGCCUGACAACAGAGGCUCAAAGAUUUUUCCAGCCUAUGAAACCCCAUAGCAGACCACAAGCACACUGCUUCUGAAACACAGGAGGUUUGGAUUGGAAGGUUAAAGCUCAUCUCAUUCCACCACCCUGCCAUGGGCAGCAAUACCUUCCCCUAGACCAGGUUGCUUCAAGCUCUGUCCAACCUGGCCUUGGACACUUCAAGAAGAAGCCACAGCUUCUCUGGCUGUGCCAGUGUUUCACCACUCUCACAGCACAGAAUUUAUUCCUCAUAUCCCUUUUAACUCUACCCUCUCUCAGUCCUAUCCUUACAUGUUGCUUUCUAAGCCCAAACAUGAAUCUGUUUCUAAUUAACAGUGAUGAUUUGCAUCAUAUAAAGGCAAUUCAGCAUAAGUGUCUUCAGCCCUCCAAACAUUCUGACAGUUAAGAUCCCAUCCCCAAAACACUCUGUAAAGGCUCUGCAUUGCAUCCUGCUCUGCCCUGGAAGCUCUCCCAGAGGUUCUACCACCUUCUGUCUGACAGCAUCUGACCCUCACACCUCGUCUGACAGCACCUGUGCUGCUGCCCAAUGGAUGAUUGCUCCAGGACAUGCACAAGGUGUGCAAGUGGUUCAGUCACAGACACAGGUGAUACCACUCCAGCCUCUCCAAAAGUCUUGCCAGAAAAUUUUCAUUAGGAAACUCACAGACAGUGAUUCUUAUGGCUGCCUUUAGUUACUGCACUCUCCUCCUCGGAAACUUCUCUCAUCCCUCCCCUGCUCUCAAGCACCUUGUACAACUCGAUUAAAGGUUGUCAGACUCCUCCUGCAGACUGAACUUGCUACAGCACUUUCCUGUUGACUCAAAGCACUUUCCUGCCCACUGUAACAAAUAAAACUCGAGCUAUUCUAGUUUCUUCCUCAGUCACCAGCCGGAUCCUUUGGUAAUCUAAACGCUCAGAUUUACACCAGAGUCACCCAGAGAUCUUUGCCGUGCUUUUAUUUUCGCUUAUCCCCUCUGUAAUCUCCUCCCACCUGAGCCUUGCUCUGCAUCAUCCCCAGCAGAGGCAAUGAGAGAACACAUCUCCGAGCUGCUUUGCAUGACAGAGCAACAGAAAUCACACAAACCUGGGCACAUUUCUAAGCUCAGCAGACCACUGCACCCAUUCCUAACUACAGACAUCCUUCACUGGGCUCGAGACUCUCCAGGUGCUGCACUGCCCUGAGGUUCUGAGAGCUGUGAAAUUAAUAAUGAAAUAUCUUGGGUAGCUUAGCAUGAAGGCAGGAAGAUUACAAAUUAGCAUUAAGUUUUAUUCAGGUUUGGCCGGAGGGCAGGAGUGCAUCCUAGUGUUAAGGGAAGAAAAAAACCUGAAAAAAACCUCAAAGAUUUAAAGAGUCAGGAUGAGUAUUCAGAGCCAGGUAUGGAUAUUCCAUAUAUUACAAUCAGCUCACAAAAAACCAUCUGCCUCCAAUGUUUGCCUUUGGCUGUACAUGUAGGGGUUAAUUCACAGUGCAAAGAUUUGCACAGUUCAGGGGAACAACUCGUUGCUCAAAGCAUGAUUUGACCCCAGAAUACAACACCUAGUCCAGUUACUGCCUGAGUGCCAUCAGGCAGAUUACUCAGCCCAGGGCUCCUGCUGGAAACAAAAGUUGUAAACAGAAUUUGAAGGAACAUGAGUUAUGGUCAGCUCCAAAGAUGAGUAUAUUGGGGAGCUCUCAGCACACUGCACUUCAGGCUUGCUCUUCCUCUACAUUUAGAACAUUCAAGCUCUAAGUUAAUUAAACCCCUCAGCUUCUCAUGGUAGAGAUAACUUGCAUGCAGUGUUCUCCUCCAGCACUCAGAUGGGGCAUAUGAAGCCUUCAACCAACAAACAAUGCAAGAGAAAUAGUUCUAACUUAAAGAAUAACAGGUAAAACUCACCUCAUUUCCUCCAGUCUGAAUUCUCUACAGAAAAGAAGGUUUUUUUUCUUCUGCUAGCCAGCAUGCUGACCACUCAGUCCAGGUGGCAGAAUUCCCCAGGAGGCCCAGACUGCUCCUGAUCCUCACAAUUUUUAAUGAUCCCAGCUGGCCCUCAUCCCCAGCCUGAUUAAUUAACCCAAAAGUGUUUUUCCACUUAUUGGGGCUCUGUGUCUCUUUGCAAGGAAACAAAGUGAAGAAGAGAAAGGGAAAAGCUCGAGCUGGCACUCAUCCAAACAUAUAUCUUUGCGUGGAAGAUAAUAUCCCUGGGGAGGAAAAAGGACACAGUAAGCUUUCCAGGACAUAGUGCAGCAAAAGGGUGCUGUGUUAUGCACUUUUUGGGCUUUUUUGCCCCUAUUAAAAAAGUCAGCAGGUUUUUUCAGACACUUUAUAUUGCCUCCUUUCACAGUUCAGAGGCAUCAAUCACAGAGGAAGCUCAGGACCAGCCCUCCUUCCCAAUAAAUCCACACUGAAAGCAGCAAA